rnacentral:rRNA from 1 species
AUUGAACGCUGGCGGCAGGCCUAACACAUGCAAGUCGAACGAGUGGCGGACGGGUGAGUAAUGUCUGGGAAACUGCCUGAUGGAGGGGGAUAACUACUGGAAACGGUAGCUAAUACCGCAUACCAUCGGAUGUGCCCAGAUGGGAUUAGCUAGUAGGUGGGGUAACGGCUCACCUAGGCGACGAUCCCUAGCUGGUCUGAGAGGAUGACAAGCCACACGGGAACUGAGACACGGUCCAGGAUCCUACGGGAGGCAGCGGUGGGGAAUAUUGCACAAUGGGGGAAAGCCUGAUGCAGCAACGCCGCGUGCGGAAUGACGGCCUUCGGGUUGUAAACCGCUUUCAGCGAUGACGCGGUAGUGGCAGAAGAAGCACCGGCUAACUACGUGCCAGCAGCCGCGGUAAUAC